AGGAGGGGGGUAAUGAUCUGAUGAGGUUUCUGGUUCUUUAUUCCCAGGAUCCCUGAAUGGCCUUGAUGGGGAGGACGAAGUCCACAUCCGCCGCUCCGGAUUCCAGGUGGGCAGCACCGGUACCCAUGUAUGUACCUAUCAACUUAUCACUACUACUUGUUUUGGCUCCCUCCUCUGCUAAUAUAUAUCCUUUUUAAGUUUUAAUACCCACUACUAACUUGGUCCCAUGACUUACAAAUGUAUUAUAUGCUUGUAACCAGAUCUAUACAGUUUAUUCUUCAUCUAUCUAAUCUAGAUAUCCGAUAUGCAUCUCGAAAUUGCAGGUGAUUGUGAGGAGGAGACAAGCUUGUUGCCAAUAUGCUGUAAACUAUAUUGAUUAAGUAGUUCGGAGAAGACAUGCAUUACAAUUUAGGUCAGUCCAUUUGGUUUGUUAGACAUGAAAGUCAGAAAGACAAAUGUCAGCAUCUCACAAGAAGGAAUCUAGAUAUAUAUGCCAUGGUUACAUACUCUAGGACCCACCCCUAGGAUGCUCUGGCCCGUACCUCUCCAGUCCACCCAAAAGGAAACAUAUAAGGAGCCAUGUAUAUGCACCCAUACUCACGAGUCCAAGGCAACUCAGCUCUAACAUCCAAAGCAUCUAACUCCAAUAUGCAACCAAGUGUUAUCAACCACAUUUAGCUCUUUCAGUCUCAUCACUUCGUCCUACAAUAAGCUUAAUAGUUU
rnacentral:lncRNA from 1 species